GAAACUAGUUUGUUGGCGACGCCGGUGCGGUUCGGCUGCGGGAUCUCGGCCGCGACUCGGUGAGCCGACCCGGGGCGGCAGCAGCUGCGGGGACUGCGGAGCGCGUGGGUGCCCACGGUGGGUUCACAAUGUCUGUCAGCGUUCACGAGACCCGCAAGUCGCGGAGCAGCACGGACUCCAUGAACAUCUCGCUCUUCCACAAGGCCUCGCACCCCGACUGUGUGCUAGCCCACCUCAACACCCUCCGCAAGCACCGUAUGUUCACCGAUGUCACGCUCUGGGCCGGUGACCGAGCCUUCCCAUGCCACCGUGCAGUGUUGGCGGCCUCCAGCCGAUACUUUGAGGCCAUGUUCAGCCAUGGCCUGCGGGAAAGCCGGGAUGAUUCGGUCAACUUCCAGGACAACCUGCACCCUGAGGUGCUGGAGCUGCUGCUGGACUUUGCCUACUCGUCCCGCAUUGUCAUCAACGAGGAGAACGCAGAGUCGCUGCUGGAGGCGGGCGACAUGCUGCAGUUCCAUGACGUCAGGGACGCGGCCGCUGAGUUCCUGGAGAAGAACCUCUCCCCCUCCAACUGCCUGGGCAUGAUGCUGCUGUCGGAUGCCCACCAGUGCCGACAGCUCUACGAGUUCUCCUGCCGAAUGUGCCUGGUGCACUUUGAGACGGUGCGGCAGAGCGAGGACUUCAACAGUCUGUCUAAGGACACGCUCUUGGACCUCAUCUCCAGUGACGAGCUGGAGACUGAGGAUGAACGCGUGGUCUUUGAGGCCAUCCUGCAGUGGGUGAAACAUGAUCUGGAUCAGAGGAAGGCCCAUCUGCCGCUGCUCCUGCGCCAUGUGCGUCUGGCCCUGCUGCCCUCAGACUGCCUGAAGAAGGUUGUAUCCGGGGAGGCCCUCUUCAUGGAGGACGAGCGCAGCAAGCUCCUCAUAGAUGAAGCCUUCCGAUGCAAGACCAAGAUCUUGCUGAACGAUGGUGUGGUCACCAGCCCCUUUGCCCGGCCUCGCAAGGCGGGCCACACGCUGCUCAUCCUGGGAGGCCAGACCUUCAUGUGUGACAAGAUCUACCAAGUGGACCACAAAGCCAAGGAGAUUAUCCCCAAGGCGGACCUGCCAAGCCCCCGGAAGGAGUUCAGCGCUUCGGCCAUCGGCUGCAAGGUCUAUGUGACUGGAGGCAGGGGCUCUGAGAAUGGGGUCUCUAAGGAUGUCUGGGUCUAUGACACUGUCCACGAGGAAUGGUCUAAGGCGGCCCCUAUGCUGAUUGCUCGCUUUGGCCAUGGCUCAGCUGAGCUGGAGAACUGUCUGUACGUGGUGGGGGGCCAUACCUCCCUAGCAGGCAUUUUCCCCGCCUCCCCUUCCAUCUCCCUGAAACAAGUCGAGAAAUAUGACCCGGGGGCUAAUAAGUGGACUAUGAUGGCCCCAAUGAGAGACGGUGUCAGCAAUGCUGCGGUGGUGAGCGCCAAGCUGAAACUCUUUGUGUUCGGGGGCACCAGCAUCCACCGGGACAUGGUGUCCAAAGUCCAGUGUUUUGACCCCUCAGAGAACCGGUGGACAAUAAAGGCGGAGUGUCCCCAGCCUUGGCGAUACACAGCUGCCGCUGUCCUGGGCAGCCAGAUCUUUAUCAUGGGAGGUGAUACAGAGUAUACAGCAGCUUCAGCCUAUCGCUUUGACUGUGACACCAACCAAUGGACUCGGAUUGGGGAUAUGACUGCCAAACGCAUGUCCUGUCAUGCCCUGGCUUCCGGCAACAAGCUAUAUGUGGUGGGAGGCUACUUUGGGACCCAGAGGUGUAAGACCUUGGACUGCUAUGACCCCACCUCAGACACGUGGAACUGCAUCACCACGGUGCCCUACUCCCUCAUCCCCACUGCUUUUGUCAGCACCUGGAAGCAUCUGCCUGCAUGAAGGGCACCUGCAUGGCCCAGCCAGGCCUGCUGAGCAUCUUCCGAGAGAGUUCAAGAUUGCUCCUGGAAUCAGCUUUCGCUUUCUUGGCCUCGGCUGUCUGGCUACACCAGAGCAGGCUCUCCUCCAUCUGGAUGGACCUCUUGACCUCUGUCUCCAAGACUGACCCUGAAGUGUUCCCACUCUGCACGAUCCUCCUCUUGUCAGCAUGUUCGCACAGGUCAAAGUCAAAGAAGAGACCCACAACACAGCAGCAGGGCGAGAAGCUGAUAUGCAGGACAUGCCUGUCACUUCUUGAAUCCUGGGAGCCUUCUGUACCCCUCAGCCCCCAUGGCAUGUGGAUGCAACUCGGCUACAGACCAGGGCCUGUGGUAUGGGAGGCAGGGACCCCAGUAUAGGAGAGGGCCAAGCACCUUAAUAGAGUCAAGGCCAGAAGGGGCCAAAACACAGUAUGCCUACUGUCUUUCUGUGCAUUCCUACAAGGGGACAGGAGGAAAAUUCACCUGUAGUGAGCAUGGCAUUAGCCAGUCAGCCGUUCGGGGAUACCCAGCCUGAUACCUCACCCAGGCCUGGUUCUCCGUUCCCCUCCAACAACUCUGGCCCUGCUGAUCCAGCCUCUUCUGCCAGGUGACCAAUAGGAAGGUCCUGGCAACGUGUGCCACUAUCCCUGUUGCCUUGGGAGCUCCACCUUUGCCUGGUUUCCUCUAUAGAUGUACUCUGUCCAUCCUUCUAGGCUUUAAGGCGGUUCCAGAGGCCACCAGCAGCAGUCUCUGAAGCCCCUGCCCAGUGCCCCUGUGAUUCCCUGUUGCCCCAUGCCUGCUUUCUCCAUCCCAGGCACCCACUUCAGGUCCUGAUGGGAACCCCACUCUGGUCAUGUCUUUUUCUCUCCUUUCCCUCUGAAGCCUCCUGGAAGCUGCGUAAGUAAGGCCUAAUCUCCUGUGUGCUCCCUCCCUAGCUUCCCACCCAGCCAACCUCUCACUGCUGCUACAGCUGGCCCACUUUCUCCUAAACAUUACUACAGAGAAACUUAGAGUGGGACCUAGGGCUUUCUCCAGCUUUCAUGGCCAGUCCUAACUGGCAGGAGAGUGCCUUGGGGAUGUUCUUCAUGCAGAGGUCACUUGUGCCUAUGUGAGACCUAAGAAUAAAAAAGACAUCAGCAUAGGUAGAGACUUUAUCAGUCAUCUGCAGGAUGAGUUUUGCCAAGGCCCGUCACGCACAGGGGUGAAGACAAACACUGACCUUGAGUCCAUUUUUCAGCUGGAGGACUGUAUUUCACAGAGGAGAAGAGCAGGCUACGGAGAAGAAACUGACAGAGUUAGGGGCAUAAGACUAAGAUCUUGGGGUGGGCCAGAGGAUAGUCGCUCCUCUGGAGCCAUCACAGAAACCAGGGAGGGUGGCUCACACCACCCUUUCCUCAUACAAGCAUACAGGGUUCCGGGUGGGCCCUGGCAUGAACACGGCCCGUCUCUGUGGCGCUCUCCCGCCAGCUAGGCCUGUCUUUUGAAGCUUGUGGAAACCCGAAGUCCUGGCUCCGGUCAUUUCUUUGUGGUAACAUUGAGGCAGGGUAAAGUGGGUCAGCGCCUGUGACACUGGGAGUUCAUGUUGGCUAGCCUAGAGCAUGUUAGGAUUGUUAGGGGCCUCAGGAACCCUGCUGGAAAACAGUAUCCUGCCUGCCCUGCCAGUGUCUGCGACAUCCAGGGCCUCUGGAGAUGGCAGCGUUCCUGUGGAUCAGCACCAGCCUGUCUCUAGGAGCUGCAGCAGUGCUGGGGGUAUAUUCCCGUUACGGAAAACUUCCGCCAUUGGAGCCUCAGUACUGGCAUAUGAUUUUGCGCUAAGGUUUUGCAAACACACAGAACUAAAGGAAAGUGCCUUGUAUUGGGGGUUUCACAACUGUACAGCUCACACCAGUGUGCAGGUUGCAUAGUUCUAACUCUAAGCUCCUGCCAAGCUUAGUGAUGGUUUCGCUUCCUGCAGUGCCUGCGUGGGGACACAGCUCAGCAUGGAGCCUGUGCCCACGAGCACUGCUAGCCAGUUAGAGACAGGGGCCGAGUCUAUUCUGCCUUCACAGGUUAGAGCCACCAUGUGGCUCGGGUACAUCUAGCCCUGGCCUCCGCUGAAACCACAUGGACAACUGGGCUGCCUGGGAACAGAGGACUGUGGCUUCUCUCCUCCUCUCUCACUGCCCUAGGUUCUUCACCUUCCAUGCCUGUCUCUGCCUUGCCAGCCCUGCUGUGUCCUACAGGGUGUCCGAACUUGAUCAGCAUAGGAGCUGCAGCCUGGCCACCAUCCCUUCCCAGACCCAAAUGCUGAGCCACAUCCUCUUUAGGGCUGGCCUAGGACUGGCCUAGGAUUUUGUGGAGAUGCCGCUGGGGUUCAUCUGUAGCAGUGACCAUCAGUAAUUAAAUCAGUGUUUCCUUCUUGCUUCAGGAACAUUCUCCAUGAAGCCUUCAGCAAGGGGGGCUUGCUCCUGGAUCCUUGCCAGGCUGCGUGGUUCUUCCUGACUCGGCUAGAAACUGACAGCACCAGCUCCGGGUGGCAGCCGCUCAAGCUGUUCUUAACACUAGGCAGGAAAGUGAAGUUCUCCAGCGUCACCUGUGCUCCGCUUCCUGAGCUGCCAGCGGCUUGUGUGGAGAGAAGCUUCCAGAGGCGUGGGCCGUCACCAGCAGCCCUGGCUAGGGAUAUGACAUUCACGCAAAGCCUUGAGGUCACCUCUGCCAGCCAGGCCUGGCAAGGGCUGGCAGGGGAACAGCAGGGGUCCCUUGAUACCAGCAGCACAGCCUUUGACUGCAGGGCUUCCUGCGGAAGGUGGGAAUGUUGCUCCAUACUGUCCUGGACAUCAGGGAGCCGAGUUCAACUGAAGACGUUUUAUAAGAGACAGAAACCCCAGGGCAACCCAGCCUCAGGGGGUAUCCACAGGCUCCACCAGCAGAUAGCACCAGACACCUAAGGCCAAGGGGAGACUGCCUGCGUGCCCUCUGCCAAGAACUACCCCAUCCCCCUAAGGGGUGAUUUUGGGAAGCUACCAUGAACAUAGGACAGAUGCUCAUGACCGGUCAGACACUGCUGGGGGUCCCUCAGCAGGACUCUAGACCCCAGGGAGCUGGUUGGGGUCUGUUGCCUAUUCUCCCUGGAGCCACAGAAGAGCAGCAGGGCUCCUCAGGAGACCCCCUUGCCCCAGUUCUGUGUCCUGUCUCCUAAGAAGAGAACAGUCAUGACCCCGUGGCCACUACAAUUCCCACAGAGAUUAGAUUUCUAUCAUGUGUGGUCUAGUGCCAAGGCUCUUGUCACACUUGCUAUCCUCCUUGGCACCAGCUGGCAGCCUGAAUCCUGCCUGUCUGAUUCUUGAGCUCAGAAAGAAGGAUCCGAAGAAACUUCCCAAAUGUGUUUCUCAAGGAUUCCACACCAGUUCCCUGCACUGGGUGCAGAGGCGCCUUCUGAUGCCAUUCUGGAUGCUAGACUCACCCCUUGCUUGUCUAGCCUGAUGUUGGCGGGACAGGCGCUCUCGGUUUCUGGCACAGCAGGGUACCAUAGCUGGUGGCUUCCCAGGCCAUUGCUGCAUCUGGAUGGAACGUCCAAAGUCGGUUCUGUUGUUGACAAACGUGGAGCCACAGUCUAGACCAGUUUGGUCAGCCGUCAAGGUCCUCGAGGCUCAGCCUGGUACUGGUGCUGUGCGUGACUUAGUCACAGACUGGCCCUUAUCUGAGGUCCAGCUUGUUUUUCAUUCCACCUCCUGGUCAGUCCUUCUGGAGAACUGCAGGCUCUUGGCCUGUGCACCACGUUAUCAGGACCCAUCACUCCGCACAGCACAGAGGACCUAGCCAUGGUGCUUGCCUGGGCAUGGGCGUUGCUUUUAUUAGUUUUCUAACUUAAUAAAAGUGAAGAAGUUCUUGACCUUA